GCUUGCUUUGACAACAACAUAUACUAAAAUUGGAACAAUACAAAGAUUAGCAUGGUCCCUGCACAAGGAUGACAUACAAAUUCAUGAAGCGUUUCAUAUUUUU